rnacentral:rRNA from 1 species
UACUAAUGGUGCAAGCGUGAAUCGGAAUUACUGGGCGUAAAGCGCGCGUAGGUGGUUCAGCAAGUUGGAUGUGAAAUCCCCGGGCUCAACCUGGGAACUGCAUCCAAAACUACUGAGCUAGAGUACGGUAGAGGGUGGUGGAAUUUCCUGUGUAGCGGUGAAAUGCGUAGAUAUAGGAAGGAACACCAGUGGCGAAGGCGACCACCUGGACUGAUACUGACACUGAGGUGCGCAAGCGGGGGGAGCAAACAGGAGUCGAUAACCCGUAGCC